rnacentral:rRNA from 1 species
ACGCACGCUGGCGGCGUGCUUAACACCUGCCAGUCGAACGGAAAGGCCCUGCUUUUGUGGGGUGCUCGAGUGGCGAACGGGUGAGUAACACGUGAGUAACCUGCCCUUGACUUUGGGAUAACUUCAGGAAACUGGGGCUAAUACCGGAUAGGAGCUCCUGCUGCAUGGUGGGGGUUGGAAAGUUUCGGCGGUUGGGGAUGGACUCGCGGCUUAUCAGCUUGUUGGUGGGGUAGUGGCUUACCAAGGCUUUGACGGGUAGCCGGCCUGAGAGGGUGACCGGCCACAUUGGGACUGAGAUACGGCCCAGACUCCUACGGGAGGCAGCAGUGGGGAAUAUUGCACAAUGGGCGGAAGCCUGAUGCAGCAACGCCGCGUGCGGGAUGACGGCCUUCGGGUUGUAAACCGCUUUCGCCUGAGACGAAGCGUGAGUGACGGUAAUGGGUAAAGAAGCACCGGCUAACUACGUG